rnacentral:rRNA from 1 species
GAUGAACGCUGGCGGCGUGCCUAAUACAUGCAAGUCGAGCGAACGGACGAGAAGCUUGCUUCUCUGAUGUUAGCGGCGGACGGGUGAGUAACACGUGGAUAACCUACCUAUAAGACUGGGAUAACUUCGGGAAACCGGAGCUAAUACCGGAUAAUAUUUUGAACCGCAUGGUUCAAAAGUGAAAGACGGUCUUGCUGUCACUUAUAGAUGGAUCCGCGCUGCAUUAGCUAGUUGGUAAGGUAACGGCUUACCAAGGCAACGAUGCAUAGCCGACCUGAGAGGGUGAUCGGCCACACUGGAACUGAGACACGGUCCAGACUCCUACGGGAGGCAGCAGUAGGGAAUCUUCCGCAAUGGGCGAAAGCCUGACGGAGCAACGCCGCGUGAGUGAUGAAGGUCUUCGGAUCGUANAACUCUGUUAUUAGGGAAGAACAUAUGUGUAAGUAACUGUGCACAUCUUGACGGUACCUAAUCAGAAAGCCACGGCUAACUACGUGCCAGCAGCCGCGGUAAUACGUAGGUGGCAAGCGUUAUCCGGAAUUAUUGGGCGUAAAGCGCGCGUAGGCGGUUUUUUAAGUCUGAUGUGAAAGCCCACGGCUCAACCGUGGAGGGUCAUUGGAAACUGGAAAACUUGAGUGCAGAAGAGGAAAGUGGAAUUCCAUGUGUAGCGGUGAAAUGCGCAGAGAUAUGGAGGAACACCAGUGGCGAAGGCGACUUUCUGGUCUGUAACUGACGCUGAUGUGCGAAAGCGUGGGGAUCAAACAGGAUUAGAUACCCUGGUAGUCCACGCCGUAAACGAUGAGUGCUAAGUGUUAGGGGGUUUCCGCCCCUUAGUGCUGCAGCUAACGCAUUAAGCACUCCGCCUGGGGAGUACGACCGCAAGGUUGAAACUCAAAGGAAUUGACGGGGACCCGCACAAGCGGUGGAGCAUGUGGUUUAAUUCGAAGCAACGCGAAGAACCUUACCAAAUCUUGACAUCCUUUGACAACUCUAGAGAUAGAGCCUUCCCCUUCGGGGGACAAAGUGACAGGUGGUGCAUGGUUGUCGUCAGCUCGUGUCGUGAGAUGUUGGGUUAAGUCCCGCAACGAGCGCAACCCUUAAGCUUAGUUGCCAUCAUUAAGUUGGGCACUCUAAGUUGACUGCCGGUGACAAACCGGAGGAAGGUGGGGAUGACGUCAAAUCAUCAUGCCCCUUAUGAUUUGGGCUACACACGUGCUACAAUGGACAAUACAAAGGGCAGCGAAACCGCGAGGUCAAGCAAAUCCCAUAAAGUUGUUCUCAGUUCGGAUUGUAGUCUGCAACUCGACUACAUGAAGCUGGAAUCGCUAGUAAUCGUAGAUCAGCAUGCUACGGUGAAUACGUUCCCGGGUCU